rnacentral:misc_RNA from 1 species
AAGUCGUAACAAGGUCUCCGUUGGUGAACCAGCGGAGGGAUCAUUAGAGAGUUUCAUAACUCCCUACCAUUGUGAACAAACCGCUGUGCCCAGGCCUAGGUACCCCCUAAGCCGGCAUGCAAACUCUUAUUUCAGUGAUUAUCUGAGUAGACUAUACAAUAAGUCAAAACUUUCAACAACGGAUCUCUUGGUUCUG